AUCCACUUAGCUCAACGGUAGAGCCCUGCCUGUGCGGGAGAUGCAGGUUCAAUUCCUGCGGUGG
rnacentral:tRNA from 1 species